rnacentral:rRNA from 1 species
AACGAACGCUGGCGGCAUGCCUAACACAUGCAAGUCGAACGAUGUCUUUCGGGGCAUAGUGGCGCACGGGUGCGUAACGCGUGGGAAUCUGCCCUUGGGUUCGGAAUAACCGUUGGAAACGACGGCUAAUACCGGAUGAAGUCGAUAAGACCAAAGAUUUAUCGCCUGAGGAUGAGCCCGCGUAGGAUUAGCUAGUUGGUGUGGUAAGAGCGCACCAAGGCGACGAUCCUUAGCUGGUCUGAGAGGAUGAUCAGCCACACUGGGACUGAGACACGGCCCAGACUCCUACGGGAGGCAGCAGUGGGGAAUAUUGGACAAUGGGCGCAAGCCUGAUCCAGCAAUGCCGCGUGAGUGAUGAAGGCCUUAGGGUUGUAAAGCUCUUUUACCCGGGAUGAUAAUGACAGUACCGGGAGAAUAAGCUCCGGCUAACUCCGUGCCAGCCGCCGCAGUAA